rnacentral:rRNA from 1 species
GAUGAACGCUGGCGGCGUGCCUUAUACAUGCAAGUCGAGCGAACGGACGAGAAGCUUGCUUCUCUGAUGUUAGCGGCGGACGGGUGAGUAACACGUGGAUAACCUACCUAUAAGACUGGGAUAACUUCGGGAAACCGGAGCUAAUACCGGAUAAUAUUUUGAACCGCAUGGUUCAAAAGUGAAAGACGGUCUUGCUGUCACUUAUAGAUGGAUCCGCGCUGCAUUAGCUAGUUGGUAAGGUAACGGCUUACCAAGGCAACGAUGCAUAGCCGACCUGAGAGGGUGAUCGGCCACACUGGAACUGAGACACGGUCCAGACUCCUACGGGAGGCAGCAGUAGGGAAUCUUCCGCAAUGGGCGAAAGCCUGACGGAGCAACGCCGCGUGAGUGAUGAAGGUCUUCGGAUCGUAAAACUCUGUUAUUAGGGAAGAACAUAUGUGUAAGUAACUGUGCACAUCUUGACGGUACCUAAUCAGAAAGCCACGGCUAACUACGUG